GACGAACGCUGGCGGCGUGCUUAACACAUGCAAGUCGAACGGGCCUGUCUUCUUUUUUGGGGGUGGGUUGAGUGGCGAACGGGUGAGUAUCACGUGAGUAACCUGCCCUUCGGUCCUGGAUAACCGCUUGAAAGGGCGGCUAAUACGGGGUGGUCCGGUUGGUCCGCAUGGGCUGGUCGGGAUAGAUUCACUGUUUUUGGUGUUUCGGCGGGGGAUGGGCUCACGGCCUAUCAGCUUGUUGGUGGGGUGAUGGCCUACCAAGGCGGUGACGGGUAGCCGGCCUGAGAGGGUGGGCGGCCACACUGGGACUGAGAUACGGCCCAGACUCCUGCGGGAGGCAGCAGUGGGGGGUAUUGCACAAUGGGCGGAAGCCUGAUGCAGCGACGUCGCGUGAGGGAUGGAGGCCUUCGGGUUGUGAACCUCUGUUUCCGGUGGUGAAGGCCCUGUCCGUGUGGUGGGGUUGACGGUAGCCGGGGAUGAAGCGCCGGCUAACUACGUG
rnacentral:rRNA from 1 species